GGGCACGAGAAGGGGAUAGAGAAGGGCAGGCAGUAGGCGUGAAGCUGCGAGCAGAGUAGAGAGCAACUUGGCAGAGCAGCAAGCAGAGUAGGCAAGUGUUGAGGUUUGGCUGUGAGUAGCAGCGAAAGCCCAGAGCAUCAAGAAGCAGGAAGUGAGGAGAAGGAAUGGAGGAAUCUGUCCAGAGCUGUGCCCCUGCUUGCCACAGGAGCUGCGCGGGAGGAGAAGAACGUGGGCCAAAAGAUUUGUUUUGCUUGCAGGUGUUCCACUUUGGCUUUGUAUGACACAGUGGACGAGAGGGGACGGCGUUCAGUGGAACAAACGCUGCAGACCCUGGGGAGAAUCAAAGCAGGAGAGAGGAAACGUGCCCUUUGCAGCAGGGGCCGUUGUGCUGGCAUUGCCCAUCGCAUCCACUGCUGCUGUGGUCCUUUCUUUCCUUUGGGCAGUUUGCUGUCUCUCACGGGGUUGUCUACAAUAGGUGUUUGUUUGUGUGUCCGUGUGAGGCUGUUGAAUAAAAUUCCUACCUCUGUGUUC